UACGGAAGGCAGCAGUGGGGAAUAUUGCACAAUGGGCGCAAGCCUGAUGCAGCCAUGCCGCGUGUAUGAAAAAGGCCUUCGGGUUGUAAAGUACUUUCAGUCGUGAGGAAGGUGUUAAGGUUAAUAACCUUAGCAAUUGACGUUAGCGACAGAAGAAGCACCGGCUAACUCCGUGCCAGCAGCCGCGGUAAUACGGAGGGUGCGAGCGUUAAUCGGAAUUACUAGGCGUAAAGGGCACGCAGGCGGUUAAUUAAGUUGGAUGUGAAAUCCCCGGGCUUAACCUGGGAAUGGCAUUCAAGACUGGUUAGCUAGAGUCUUGUAGAGGGGGUAGAAUUCCAUGUGUAGCGGUGAAAUGCGUAGAGAUGUGGAGGAAUACCGGUGGCGAAGGCGGCCCCUGGACAAAGACUGACGCUCAUGUGCGAAAGCGUGGGGAGCAAACAGGGAUUAGAUACC
rnacentral:rRNA from 1 species